AACGGUCUAUACCUGCGGUACCUGCGGAAGGAUCAUUAUAGAGUGGUAAACCCCCCGUAAAAGGGGGGGACCUCCUGUCCUUUGUAGGCUCUUUUUUAAAAGGGCUUUUUUUAAUUUUCUGCUUCGGUGGGGUUAUCCCACCGGAACAACCUCAAAACUCUUAUCAAAAAAUCGUUCUGUCUGAGAACCUUUUAUAAUAAAAAAAAACUUUUAGCAAUGGAUCUCUAGAUCGGAAGAGCA
rnacentral:misc_RNA from 1 species